ACACCGUCAACUUUAUUCAAACUGGAAAAAGUAAAUGAAACACCGCAGUUCAGAGAAACCACCGCCGCGAUCUCAAUAUUCCCCGUCGGAAUCAGCUAACUUCCACGAGCUCAAUAGUGACGUGUCACGUGCAUUACAAGAAGAUGUCUAGCUCUAAACAGCUAAGACAGAGAAGCUUCAACACUGACGGCAGUUUUGGUGAUUCGGUCGUUACAGCCGUUCAUGAUAGUUGCGAAAAGGAAGGUAGUUCUGCAGAGCCGUUAGAAUUGAAGCCUCUCUUGACGGAGGAAUUAACUUUGAAGCAAUCACCUGUAACAUACUUCUUGGACAAAGUGUACAAUGGAAAUUCUUUAUGGAAUACAACAACUCUUGGGAAUGAAAAGGGAAGAGAACGAGUUUAUGACACUAUCUUCCGCUUGCCAUGGAGAUGUGAAUUGCUUAUAGAUGUUGGCUGCUUUGUCUGCUUCUAUUCAUUUCUAUCAUUGUUAACUGUGGUUCCAACAAGGGUAGUAAUGACCUCUUGGAAGCUUCUGAAAACAAGGAAGUUCAAGAGGCCGUCUCCAAUCGAGUUGUCUGAUUUUGGCUGUUUCAUUAUUGUGGCUUGUGGAAUCACUGUUUUGCAGCAAAUAGAUAUCAGCUUAAUAUACCAUAUAAUCCGUGGUCAAGCAACCAUUAAAUUGUAUGUGAUCUACAAUGUUUUAGAGAUAUUUGAUAGAUUAUGUCAAAGUUUUAACGGGGAUGUGUUGCAAAUGUUAUUUCAUUCAGCAGAAGGACUUGCAAGAUGUUCCCCUGAAACGCAAAGUACGAGAUUCUGGAGAUUUAUUUCUGACCAAGUUUUAGCUGUUGUUGCAAUAAUUGUUCAUUCUUUUAUCUUAUUAGCUCAGGCAAUCACAUUAUCAGCCUGCAUUGUUGCUCACUACAAUGCACUGCCAGCUUUACUGGUGUCAAAUAAUUUUUCUGAGAUCAAAAGCUACGUGUUUAAGGGAUACAAAAAGGAUAAUGUUCAUAGUAUGGUGUACUUUGAUUCUAUAGAGAGAUUCCACAUCUCAACAUUUAUCUUAUUCGUUUUGGCUCAAAAUAUUAUGGAGGCAGAAGGCCCCUGGUUUCAAAGCUUUCUCAUUCAUACACUUUCGGUUUAUCUAUGUGAAGUGGCUAUUGAUGUUAUCAAGCAUUCAUUCAUUGCCAAAUUCAAUAAUAUUACUCCCAUUGCAUACUCUGAGUUCCUUGAAGCUUUAUGUAAACAGACUCUACAUACGCAAACCGAGGAUACAAAGAAAAAUUUGAAGUUUGUCCCUCUUGCUCCAGCGUGUGUGGUUAUUCGAGUUCUGGUUCCAGUAUACGCUGCUAAUCUUCCUUACAGUCCCCUUCCGUGGAAGCUUUUUUGGAUUAUGCUAUUUUCAGCAAUAACCUACAUUUUACUCACAAGCCUCAAGAUUCUAAUUGGCUUGGUUCUAAAGAAACAUGCCACUUGGUAUGUUAAUCGCUGUCGAAGAAGGAAUCAUCAUCUUCAUGCAGAUUAGUUUAGGGACCUACUAAUUUGAUGCCCUCUACAGUUAAAGGAUCCCUUUGCUUGUGCCUGAAGAUUACAUAUGGAAACAACUUUGUCCAUCUACUGAUAGCAUUCUCUAACUCAGUGCGUGGACUCUAUUGGGGCAAGUACAAAGAUUGGGGAACAUAAGCACACUUAUUUUUUAUUUUAUAGACAAAGUAGACAACAUAAGCACACGUUUUUUUUAGUAAAAAAAACAUAAGCACACGUUUUCAUCUUCAAAUUAUAGGUCAAUCACAUGCGAAUAAUCUAUGUACAAUGAUGAGAUCCAUUUCACAUAAUACUAUCCCUCUGAUCAUGCUUUCUAAAUUAGUCCUUUUUUUAUGUCACUUGAGAUAAAAA